rnacentral:rRNA from 1 species
UUAAUGCCUAGCGAAUCUGCCUGGUAGUGGGGGAUAACGUUCGGAAACGGACGCUAAUACCGCAUACGUCCUACGGGAGAAAGCAGGGGACCUUCGGGCCUUGCGCUAUCANAUGAGCCUAGGUCGGAUUAGCUAGUUGGUGGGGUAAUGGCUCACCAAGGCGACGAUCCGUAACUGGUCUGAGAGGAUGAUCAGUCACACUGGAACUGAGACACGGUCCANACUCCUACGGGAGGCAGCAGUGNGGAAUAUUGGACAAUGNGCGAAAGCCUGAUCCAGCCAUGCCGCGUGUGUGAAGAAGGUCUUCGGAUUGUAAAGCACUUUAAGUUGGGAGGAAGGGUUGUAGAUUAAUACUCUGCAAUUUUGACGUUACCGACAGAAUAAGCACCGGCUAACUCUGUGCCAGCAGCCGCGGUAAUACAGAGGGUGCAAGCGUUAAUCGGAAUUACUGGGCGUAAAGCGCGCGUAGGUGGUUAGUUAAGUUGGAUGUGAAAUCCCCGGGCUCAACCUGGGAACUGCAUUCAAAACUGACUGACUAGAGUAUGGUAGAGGGUGGUGGAAUUUCCUGUGUAGCGGUGAAAUGCGUAGAUAUAGGAAGGAACACCAGUGGCGAAGGCGACCACCUGGACUGAUACUGACACUGAGGUGCGAAAGCGUGGGGGAGCNAACAGGAUUAGAUACCCUGGU